rnacentral:rRNA from 1 species
ACAAGCGGUGGAGUAUGUGGUUAAUUCGAUGCAACGCGAAGAACUACCUGGUCUUGACAUCCCGGAGACCCUUAGGAAACUAGGGGGUGCUUCCAUCUGGAAGAAUCUGGAGACAGGUGCUGCAUGGCUGUCGUCAGCUCGUGUCGUGAGAUGUUGGGUUAAGUCCCGCAACGAGCGCAACCCUUGCCUUUAGUUGCCAGCAGUUCGGCUGGGCACUCUAAAGGGACUGCCGGUGUUAAACCGGAGGAAGGUGGGGAUGACGUCAAGUCCUCAUGGCCUUUAUGACCAGGGCUACACACGUACUACAAUGGCCGAUACAAAGGGCAGCGACACUGCGAGGUGAAGCCAAUCCCGUAAAAUCGGUCUCAGUCCGGAUUGGAGUCUGCAACUCGACUCCAUGAAGUUGGAAUCGCUAGUAAUCGUGGAUCAGCAUGCCAAGGUGAAUACGUUCCCGGGCCUU